CAGUAGCCGCGGGAAUACGAAGGGGGCUAGCGUUGCUCGGAAUUACUGGGCGUAAAGGGAGCGUAGGCGGACAUUUAAGUCAGGGGUGAAAUCCCAGAGCUCAACUCUGGAACUGCCCUUGAUACUGGGUGUCUUGAGUGUGAUAGAGGUAUGUGGAACUCCGAGUGUAGAGGUGAAAUUCGUAGAUAUUCGGAAGAACACCAGUGGCGAAGGCGACAUACUGGAUCAUUACUGACGCUGAGGCUCGAAAGCGUGGGGAGCAAACAGGAUUAGAGACCCCCGUAGUCCCUGUCUCUUAUAC
rnacentral:rRNA from 1 species